UUGAGCAAUGCACAUUCGUAUUGCAGAAUGAAACUUGGAGGAGUCUGGUGUGAUGUUAUUACCUCCUUUUGCACGAAUCACCGAAAACAAACUUUCAAGGCAAUCUUGAGUUAAGCGUCUUACUAAAAGAUAGAGGUCUGCGAAAUACUUUGCAUUCAUCAAAUGAGAUGCUAUUAAACACAUCAAAUAAAUUAUCUAACAGCUUGAUAAAUUUUGCAGUAUAGACUGCUUUGGAACAAAGUUGAUUAUUUGAUACAAGUGUUAAGAUUGCAGAGCUUACAGUGUGACUAAAAGUCUGUGCUGCCAAACAUACACGCAUUGGAGAAAAUGGAGGCAACUUGAUAUGUAUUUCUUUAAGCUUUGGGGCUAGUCUUGGCACUUUAUCUUUAUCAAGAUUAUAAAAAGCUACAAUAUCUGUCCAUGAGUAUAUUUCGUUUUGAUGCUUGAAGUCAUACUUUUUAAAAUUAUUUCUAACCGAUUUUAAAAGGUGAGGUGUAUCGUACAUAAAGAAUAUUUUAUUAUCUUCAUAAAUUAUCCAUGGUUCAUUUUUUGUCACGCCGAGUAGUUUUCUUAAUUGUUGAUUAUUUGUUCCUUGGUCGCAAAUAAUGACUUUUGGAAUAAGAUUUAUUGAAUGUAUUUUGUAAAUUGUACUUGAUAUAAUAGUUUUAAGUUUUACUCCUAGUAUAGGUCCAUUUGAAAGAAAGUAACCAAUUACUUGUUUUCCAUGAAUGUUUUAUACCUUUUAACAUUAUAACUAAGGCUUGAUUACACUGUAAAAUACUUUUUGAAUCAAUCAAAUUUGCCAAAUUGCCAAAAUCUUCAUAACCCGAAAACAUAUCGUUUUGGGAAUUGUAGGAUAUAAAUUGUUUUAUUGACAUUUCAUCAAAAACUAUUGACACAGCUCUAUCUGAUAGUGGUGAAGAUGAUAAUAUAAAUUUAAGCACUUCUAAAAUGUUUUCAUUUAUGCCACAAGCUACAUUUAAAUUUUGGAGCCAUCGCCUAAGUGAUCUUACUGUAGGUAAACACAAAAACUUUCUCAUGAAUGUGUAGCCUUUAGGAGAGUUAUAAUAUAAACUCAAAGCAAACUUUUUUUCAUCCUCUUUAAAACGCCAUGAUUUUUUUUUUAAACUCAUAAGUCUCAUCUGUGUUUUUAACAAAAAAUUAUUAUUUGUCUUUUCUACCAUAAUUUUAGUUUUGUCACUAUUUUUUGUUUUUAAAUUUUGUAUUUGUUUAUUUUUAGUGUGAAUCAUUUUUUGGUAAACUCGUAUCUUUGUUUUUAAUUUGGUUAUUUUUUUUUGAAGUUCUGAAUUAUUUUGAGUAUCUGAUAAUAAGUUACCUGUUAACAAACAUUGAAGUUUAUUUGAUUCAACUAUCUUAUAAAAUAUAUUGAUCCAUUGUUUAUUUUUUUAAAUCAAAUCAAAAUUGUUAUGUGAUUAUUUAUUUGACCACUGUAGAUAACCAAAUAAGUUAAUGAUAAUUUUUUUUUUUUUGUUAUUCAAUAUAAAUUAAUUAAUUAAAAUUAUUUAUUUAAAAAUAUUUUUUGAAUUGAUACUAAAUUCUCAAACAGAACAUCUCUAAAGUAAAAAAAAGUAAUUAAGAGGAAACUUACAUUCAAGUAAAUCUUCUUGUUUCAUAGAAUUUUUGUCAAAAUUUAAAGAGCGUGGCAUAAAUGUUCUUUUAUUACAUUUUUUAUUUACUGAAAUUUUAAAAAGUUCUCUACCUGUAAAGUAAAAUAUUGUACAAGCUAUUAUAAUAGUUAAAAUUAUUAGUAUUGAAGUUAAAUUAAUAAAUUUUACUACCAUUAUCAUUAGGAUUUGGGUUUCGAGGGCUCCACCCAGGUUCUUUCCUCUCAAAUUGAUUUUCAGUGUGGUCAAUUUUUACAUUUGAGAGACUUUCAAGGUCUAUUUGUUUUUCACUGUGAUCUAAUGUAAAUUAAUAUUGUAUUGAAUUGUUGAAAAUUAAAUUAAGUAAAAAAGUAAUAAAUCACAUAUGUAUAUUUA